UCUGGCAAUGAUGACACACUUGCCCUCACUGAGAAUGUUGCUCUUCCAUGAGGACUUCACUUGUACUCGAACUGAGCCAGC